UGUUUUCAAUAAGUGAGGAAUAGAUCCCAGAUGCUGCAGUGCUCAUCAGUCCCAGAAUAUAUGAAAUAUCCUUAGUAUGAAACAAAGAAGCGCAUUGAAGAAGCUAAGGAUAGUACUAUGGGUAAGAGGGACAAAACACCUUUUCAGGUGGUAGGUGAGAAAGCAGCCUGCAGUGUCAGUGGGCCAGAAUGCAGAAUUCAGAAGAUGUGCAAAAAUGUCUCCAUCAUAGUACAGAAAGUUCAUAUGCAUUUAAUGCCACAACGGAUGGAUCCAAUGGAUAGUUUUCAACAUCACAUAUAUACAGAUCAGACAGAUGAG
rnacentral:lncRNA from 1 species